AAAUCCUGUUCUUAGGGUUGGGUAACGAAACGCUGUGCCAAUAAGGCACCGGUUCUGACGUAAACGAUAGUAACGAGACCGAAUAAGAACGAAAAUUUCGGUGCCUCAUUUCGGACUCUGAACCUCAC